rnacentral:rRNA from 1 species
AACGAACGCUGGCGGCAUGCCUAACACAUGCAAGUCGAACGAGAUCUUCGGAUCUAGUGGCGCACGGGUGCGUAACGCGUGGGAAUCUGCCCUUUGCUUCGGAAUAACAGUUAGAAAUGACUGCUAAUACCGGAUGAUGUCUUCGGACCAAAGAUUUAUCGGCAAAGGAUGAGCCCGCGUAGGAUUAGGUAGUUGGUGGGGUAAAGGCCUACCAAGCCGACGAUCCUUAGCUGGUCUGAGAGGAUGAUCAGCCACACUGGGACUGAGACACGGCCCAGACUCCUACGGGAGGCAGCAGUGGGGAAUAUUGGGACAAUGGGCGCAAGCCUGAUCCAGCCAUGCCGCGUGAGUGAUGAAGGCCCUAGGGUUGUAAGCUCUUUCACCGGUGAAGAUAAUGACAGUACCGGGAGAAUAAGCUCCGACUAACUCCGUGCCAGCAGCCGCGGUAAUGUCAGUGACU